UACACUCCUACGGGAGGCAGCAGUGGGGAAUUUUGGACAAUGGGCGAAAGCCUGAUCCAGCCAUGCCGCGUGCAGGAUGAAGGCCUUCGGGUUGUAAACUGCUUUUGUACGGAACGAAACGGCCUUUUCUAAUAAAGAGGGCUAAUGACGGUACCGUAAGAAUAAGCACCGGCUAACUACGUGCCAGCAGCCGCGGUAAUACGUAGGGUGCAAGCGUUAAUCGGAAUUACUGGGCGUAAAGCGUGCGCCGGCGGUUAUGUAAGACAGUUGUGAAAUCCCCGGGCUCAACCUGGGAACUGCAUCUGUGACUGCAUAGCUAGAGUACGGUAGAGGGGGAUGGAAUUCCGCGUGUAGCAGUGAAAUGCGUAGAUAUGCGGAGGAACACCGAUGGCGAAGGCAAUCCCCUGGACCUGUACUGACGCUCAUGCACGAAAGCGUGGGGAGCAAACAGGAUUAGAAACCCCGGUAGUCCCAUGA
rnacentral:rRNA from 1 species